AGCAGCCGCGGUAAUUCCAGCUCCAAUAGCGUAUAUUAAAGUUGUUGCAGUUAAAAAGCUCGUAGUUGAAUUUCGGGGUCAAUAAGUUGGUCAUGCCAAUGGUAUGCACUGGCUUUAUUGAUUCCUACCUCUUGACGAACUGUGAUGCCAUUAAUUUGGUGUUGCAAGGAAUCAGGACUGUUACCUUGAAAAAUUAGAGUGUUUAAAGCAAGCUUACGCUUGAAUACAUUAGCAUGGAAUAAUGAAAUAGGACGUUUGAUCCUAUUUUGUUGGUUUCUAGGAUCGACGUAAUGAUUAAUAGGGAUAGUUGGGGGCAUUAGUAUUCAAUUGUCAGAGGUGAAAUUCUUGGAUUUUAUUGAAGACUAACUACUGCGAAAGCAUUUGCCAAGGAUGUUUUCAUUAAUCAAGAACGAAAGUUAGGGGAUCGAAGACGAUCAGAUACCGUCGUAG
rnacentral:rRNA from 1 species